GACGAACGCUGGCGGCGUGCCUAAUACAUGCAAGUUGAGCGAUGAAGAUUGGUGCUGGCACCAAAUUGAAGAGCAGCGAACGUGUGAGUAACGCGGGGGAAAUCUGCCGUUGAGCGGGGUACAACAGUUGGAAACGAAUGCUAAUACCGCAUAACAACGUUAAACAUAAGUUUUAAGUUUGAAAGUUGCAAUUGCAUCACUCUAACAUCAUCCCGCGUUGUAUUAGCGAGUUGGUGAGGUAAAGGCGCACCAAGGCGAUGAUACAUAGCAGAAAUGCGAGGGUGAUCGGCCACACUGGGAGUGAGAAACGGCACAAAGUGCUACGGGAGCGAGCAGUAGGGAUUCUUGGGCAAUCGACGAGAGUUUGAGCGAGAAACGCCGAGUGAGUGAGGAAGGUUUUCGGAUCGUAGAACACUGUUGGUAGAGAAGAACGUUGGUGCGAGAGGAAAGAUCAUCAAGUGACGGUAACUACACAGAAAGGGACGGCUAACUACAUG
rnacentral:rRNA from 1 species